AAGUAUCUGAGGGCCUUGUCUUUUUCUCUAAAUAGGCUAUAGCUUUGUGAAAUUUCAGGAAGAAGUAAAUCUUUUCAGACCAUAGGAACACCUUUUAAUGUCAAACUGAUUGGAAGGAAGUACCUGGCUCCUCACAUGAUUGGAUUUGUUAGAAUAAAGGGCUUAUUAUACAAUUCGUUCUUCCUUAUUCUUUCACAGAUUUUCCCUCUUCAUUUUCUACAACAAAUAAGGUUUCUCCUUACAACCUUGCCCCAUCUGCCAGUCAUAUGAAAAAAAGAGACUCCAAACCGAUUUCAGCUGCGUGGGAGUUAGGACUCAUAAGGAACGGGAACACAGCUUGUCCUGCCAUCCUACCCAUAGUAGGAAAUAUCCUGAGUUAGCAUUGUUGGUAACUCACACAAAAUCAAAAGCUAUAUUUCCUUUCUUUUAAUAGAAAACAGAUAUUAGGCUAGGAGUUGGGAAAAUGUGUCAAGCUUUGAGCUAUAAAAAAAAAUCUAAAGAAUCACGCUAGGAUGUUGGACCCAGUUUAAGCCCGCUUUGGCUGCUCGCCUGACGAGGUGUGUCAGAGAUGGGCAAGAGAACGGUUUUCUCUCCUUCUCUUCCUGUCAGCACACAAUACACUCUCUUCCUAUGGAGGCUGCCUCAUUAGGAGAUCCAAGUGUGUCCUGAGGAUGUUAGCUGAGAUCCACUCUGGCAGGCAACCCCAGAAAACAUAGCCAGGAGGCUCUGAUUCAGAAGGGAUCUUCACGUGGUUGUGACGUGGCUGGAAUACGUCAAAAUCCAUCACACACACGGAGACUUGGGAGCAGUGACUGUUUAAAACUUUACAGUCACACUCAGAUAAAUGCCUUUUGAGAGCAGCUAAUUCACUUGUGCUAACAAUUGUGGAGGGUACGUGCCACUCACAGAACAGCACUCACCUCCCAUUUUAAACCAGGGAGCCACUUUUGGACCCUUUCAGUUUAGUUUUGUGAUGAGUUUUCUCUAGUAUAUUUAAAUCUAUAUAUUCUGAUAGUAAAAGAGUUUCCGGUGUAUGUGAAAAGAAGCCUGAGCGUCAAUAGGUCAAUGAUGCCAGCUUUGAGGUAUCAAAUCGGCUGCUGUCAGAGAGCACAGGUCUGUAAACCUUUUUAAGUGUUAUCCUAUAGUUAACAUAGCGAGUCACUGUAAGCCUCCGUAGGUAAAUCAAAUCACUAAAAGGAUUUCUCAGGUACCUUGAUAAGUUUGGUGUUCUCUAUAGGGUGGCAGGAUUAUUUUGAAAAUGCAGAUAGGGAAAAAAACCCCAAAAUGCAUCCCUUUGGAGAAACUCCUUCAAAGCUAUGUCAAUAGCUGAGAGGUUCUUUCAGUGCAGUUUGGAGCAAUUUUCAUAAGUAUGUUUGGGAAUCUGUUCACUCCGAGCUCCUCUCUUUAGUCUUGACAACUGUCUGGAGGCAUAAGUAUGUUACAAAGUGUCAUACCUUUGGGUCUGAUUUCCCAUUGCUUCUAGAAACAGCCAUGUAAAUGAACCACCUUUCCCUAACUCCACCAUGAAAGAUGCUGCAUUUGUCAACUCUGAAGCAUCCACAUAAUGUUUAGAUUCCAGCUGAACUGGCUACUGAGAUGACCCUUGACCCAGACAAUCUUGCCACCCACUUAUUCUCACCUGGGGGUGAUUUUAUAUUCCAAGAGGACAUGUAGCAAUGUCCAGAAACACUUUUUGAUGAUCAGAACUGUGGUGCUAUGGGUCUUCAGCAAGUAGAGGCUAGCCAGAGAUGCGGCUCAAUAUUCUGAAAUGCACGGGGCAGCCCUCACCACAUCAUCUGGCUCAAAAUGCCAAUGCUGGGGCUGAGACACCUGUGUUAUACUUUACAGUGAUGACAGACCAUAUGGCCAAUUCCUCUGCCCAAAUAACGUGUGCAUAUGGAAACAGGAAUACAAAGGCAACACGGGACUGUAGAAGCUCAGCCACGAGGGAAAGCAAGCCUUUGGAAAAUCAACUAUGCUGUGAAGACUUUCUCCCUGAGCCUUGCCUUCUUAUCUGGAAUGUUUCAGCCUUGGGAAAAUUGCUUAAAAAGAGCUCUGCUUUCUCUCCCCAGGACUGAUGGGUAAAUAUUGUACAGAUUGGAUCAUGUAUGGAAUGGAUUCUUAUUUUCCAUAUGCAGAAGCCUAUAUUUUUAAGUAAUUUGCGAGCCGGAUUCCUCAGGAGACGACCAGGUUGCUGGCUUAGUAGAAAAACCCCCCUGAAUUCAGGACCUGAAUUCAGUAAGACCAGAUUCUAGCAUGUACAGAAAAUUUGUCAUGGGAACACCUUUCCUAAUAAUGAGGUGGGUUACUUUUCAUAGCAAUGGGAAAGUGUAUUCUACCAUGAAUCAAAAUAUAUUUCUGGGAGUUCCCUGGUGGUCUAGUGGUUAGGACUCAGUGCUUUCAUUGCUGCAGUCUGGGUUCAGUCUCUGGUCUGGGGCUUGAGAUCUCACAUCAAGCUGCUGCAUACCGCAGCCAAAAAACAAAACAAAAACAAAACCCCCUCAUAUUUCCUUUCCUAACUUCCUUCCUGCUACAGCUCAUUACAAAAUGUUAUUAAGAGCCAAAUGUCAACUCUUGAACUGCAAGGACCAUUGAUCACUGUAGCAGCUAAAAGUCCUCAUGGAAAUUUGUUUUGUGUCGCCUUCUUCUGAAACCUAUAGCCUUAAUUAUUAUCCUAUUCCUUAUAUCAUAACUUUUAAGGCUCUGGGUGAUUUAUUUGUCCUUUGGAUGUUUCUCUGACAUUUCUACAAUUUCCCCCUCACUCACCCCACGUUUAGCACACUUGAUUUUCAUAAAACACAUUAAGCAUAUUCCCAACUUUAGACCUUUGGACUUGCUAUUUCCCAGGUCUGGAAAGCACUUCUCUAUUAGUGGAGGGUCCUUUAUUCUAUUCAGUUUUUGAUCGUCUUUCUCCCCUGGCCACAAUAUAUUAAAUGGAAGCUCUGUCAUUUCUAUCUCUUGAUUCUUGUUGCAUUUUUUCUUCAUAGUCCUUAUCUCCACUUGGCAAAAAUUUAUUGUAGUUUUAUAUUUUUAUUCUC